CUCCAGACACUGGCAAGAGGCUUUUGUUCCCUCUCAAAGCCAGCCCUCCUCAGGGCUUUUUAAAAAUUCAUUGCAAGAGGUGAAGCACUGCCAUUAGGCUCCCCCUCUUCACGUCACGUACUUUUUUGCUCUAAUCCAACAUUAACGCUUGCCCUCAGUGCACAUUUAAUGAAGCAAAGAGACAGAGAGUUGACGGCCUGGCCCCUGCUCCCCUCCUCCAGGUCGGUCGCAGUGCUGACUCCCUCGUGCUCAACUACACACAGCCCUGGAGCUGCACAAGGCUCCCAGGCUCUGCUUCUUGGGAAGGCACUGGGAGGCUACCGGGUGGGAAAGGACAGAUAGGUCACACGUACAGCUGAUGAUGGUUCUGUGGACAAAAGUUAAUUAAAGUUUGAUAAGUCUCUUUGCAGUUCUAACAAGGCUGGUGCUGCUCAAACAAGAUAGAUGUCUGUGAACUGUCACAUCAGUCUUUAAGGGAUGCAAAACCCUGCAUGCCCACUUACAGGUAUUCAUGAGGGCAGUAAUGUAAAGCAAUGACAUCUAGCAACAGUAGCAGCAAGAUAAAUGGGGCCAGGGACCUGCCAGAGUUAGGGAAAAAGAUAAAAAGAAAUUCCUGCUAUCAUGGCAACUGCUCACCAGCACCUGGCAGCUUAGGCCCAAAUCCAGGCCAAAGCUAAACCAACGCUUGUAAACUCAGGGAAUUAUGUGGAAACCAAAUUAAUUUCCUUGACUAAGGCUCUGUCCAUUUGUUUAAAGGAGCCAGAGAUAAAACAACAUUUAUGAGGUGCGAGGAAAGGUGUCGAGGUCAAAAUUAUUUUAGGCUAGAUAACCAUGUCUUAAUCCUGCUUUUCACUGCAAAAGCUUCCAGGCCCUUCGAAAGAAAACAUUUUUAUAGGAUUUACAUUUACAUGAAGACUACAAAUAACCAUCUGUCUGCUUCUACUUUUUCAAUCUGGUCCAUGUCCCAUGAGUCCUCAGCCCAUGGCCAAAGCAGUGAAGCUGGAAGGAAGAAGCACAUGCCCAUCAGGAGGCUCUGGAAUAAUUGCCGUCUUCUCCCACCAGCACUUGGCUCUCCUCCUCCCAGUAAUAUAGACAGUGAACAUCUGAUAUUACCAGGGAGGGGAGGGAGGAGUUCACAUUGUCCUCAUUAUUAUUCACUACAUGGUGCAAGAGAGAAGAAAAAAAAAAAAUUAAGAAGCGGGAGCAAAGACCAACUGUAAUAGCCUAAAGCAACACGUUUGAAAGAACAGACAGACCAGCUGGAAACAACUCAGAAAGAAUGAAUGGAAACACUUCUGCUGAGCAGCCAUUUGGUACAAUGUAACUCAUAACUACACACUCCGAGGCUCCCUGAUUUCUUCUUGUCAUACCUAGAAUGCAUUAGCUUACAUUUCCUUUUGAGCAUCUAUUCAACUUAAGGUUUACUGCAACAUUUUCCAUCUCGCCCAUUAGAAUGAUCACCUUCAUGACACACAUUUGGGUCUCAUACACACAGGAACAAUAGUACUCCAGCAGGCCUAAUUACUGGUCACAGUUUCAGACUUAACAGACAUUGGUUAAAAUGCUCUUUUCCUCUCAGCAGUGGGGUACAGGAGAUUAACUGGUUUUUUGUGGGUUUUUUUUGGGGUUUUUUUUUUUUUUGUUUUCUUUUCGGUUUUUUUUUUUGUUUUUUUUUUCCUGAAAAUUGUGAAAGGUUUGAGUUCUCCACAGUCUUCCCCUUCCCACUUCUAGUGAAAGGCUGUGAUGUGAGCAAAACUCUGUAUUUUUAAAUAGCAAGUCUUAGGGCUAUUGCAUGAACAGAAGAGCACCAUACUAAUUCAGCACAGUUAAUAAUACCCUGCUUAACAUUUUUAUUUUUACAUUUUCCUAUUCUUUCAAUUUAUUUAUUUAUUUGAUUUUAUUCUGUUGAUUCUUCUAAGCAUACACCUCAGGGCUCUAAGCCACAAGCCUCCAUACGUUUGUCAAAAAGUUAAACAGAAAUGUCAACACUGGUGGAUUCAAAGCAGUAAGUCUGCUAUGUAACUGAACUUAAUGAGCACAAGCAGCAAAACUCUGCAUUGUGCCAAGCUUGCUAAUGAAACAUAUUGGAAUGUAUAGCACAACUGACACAGAGCUGCUGCAUGUAGAGUGGGAAUUAACCUGGCACUUCCAGGCAUUCAGGAGCCUAAAGACUGUAGAAAUUCAGCAGUGUAUCAUUGCAGUCAGCAUGCCAGUAGUGCUAGUGGUUUAGACUCAUAUUUCCCUAUCAGUUUUUUUUUUUGUUGUUGUUUUGGUUUUUUUUUUUAAUCUUAUUCUUAAAAACAAAUCUAAGACAUUUGUUCAUAACCUGCCUUCAGAUCCUAGUAGCAAUGGUAAAUCCAUUAAACUUUACUUUCACUGUUCAUGAUGUUUAUAAAAAAUUGCAGAUGGCAUUACAAUCUAGUAAUACAAAGCUUGGCAUUUUUUUUCCUCAGAUGUAAUAACGAAGAGGAUAAACAUAAAAUUGACCCAGGGAUUUCAAUACUGAAACUUUCAUUGGAAACCCAAGCAAUAGUGUGCAAACCCAUGUACUUAUGUCGAUAUAAUAACGGCACUGCUACACCUAUUAAUAAGUAUAGAUUUCACAAUGGAGUCUUGGUUGAUAACACAUCAUAAAAUGCAUUAUAUUUCUUCUAAAACAAUAUAAUUAACUCUUAAUGAACCCUUCCCUUUCACCAGUAAAUUCAAUUUUGUCUAAUCCUUGGGUUUAUGGUAAUGUUGAGCUCAUUAAAAUGUUACUUAAAACUCAUUAAAAUGCUCACUGAGAGGUAACAGCUUCAUUACGGUAAUAUGUUGUAAAAGAAAGAAGAAUGCUUUAUUAUCAUUUAAUUGUUUCCAAAAAGGAAUACAUUUGCAUAGUGAUGAGGUUCACAGGAUAUUUUCAGUAGUACUCAAUAAUUAAGCAGUUCAGUAAUUAAAAAUGCAUUUUCUAAAAAUAAUUUUAUGUUAUUGCUUACUCCCUGUUGUGUUUUUCAAUUGGGAGAAGAGUUCAUGUCGACACAGUUUACAGAAUUAAGCAAUAGUGAUACCUGCACUGAUAAUAAAAGACAUUCCAGUUCAAUCUUUUAGUACGUU
ensembl:lncRNA